GGAGAGGUGUCAGAGCGGUCGAAUGUACUCGCCUGGAACGCGGGUGUAGAGAAAUCUACCGGGAGUUCGAAUCUCCCCCUCUCCG
rnacentral:tRNA from 1 species